rnacentral:lncRNA from 1 species
CACGAUCCUCUCGAUCGCAUUCUGGCCUCUGUCGUUACCGGAGUACCUACGCUCAGCCUCGCCGCGGGAAUCGGAGCCGGCGACCUCGCUGGGAGACUCCUCGUCGAUCUCGCGGUUCGACGGCGGCGGCGGCCACUUGUUGAGCCACGGGGCGGAGUGCGGCUUGCCGCCGCUCCUUUCGUGGGAGGAGCUGGCGUCUCGAGGAUUGGUCGUGCGGAGGGACUGGCAGAAGCAGCGCCGUUCGAGCG